rnacentral:rRNA from 1 species
CCUACGGGAGGCAGCAGUGAGGAAUAUUGGUCAAUGGGCGGGAGCCUGAACCAGCCAAGCAGCGUGAGGGAAGAAGGUACAGCGUAUCGUACACCUCUUUUGUCAGUGAACAAAGGCGGGGACUAGUCCCCGGAUGAGGGUACCUGAAGAAAAAGCAUCGGCUAACUCCGUGCCCGCAGCCGCGGUAAUACGGAGGAUGCGAGCGUUAUCCGGAUUUAGUGGGUUUAAAGGGUGCGCAGGCGGCCUGUUAAGUCAGCGGUAAAAGCCCGGGGCUCAACCCCGGCGAGCCGUUGAAACUGGCGGGCUGGAGUUGGAGAGAAGUACGCGGAAUGCGCGGUGUAGCGGUGAAAUGCUUAGAUAUCGCGCAGAGCCCCGAUUGCGAAGGUAGCGGACCGGCUCCACACUGACGCUGAGGCACGAAAGCGUGGGUAUCGAACAGGAGUAGAUACACCGGUAGUC